AACGAACGCUGGCGGCAUGCCUAACACAUGCAAGUCGAACGAGACCUUCGGGUCUAGUGGCGCACGGGUGCGUAACGCGUGGGAAUCUGCCCUUGGGUUCGGAAUAACAGUUGGAAACGACUGCUAAUACCGGAUGAUGACGUAAGUCCAAAGAUUUAUCGCCCAGGGAUGAGCCCGCGUAGGAUUAGCUAGUUGGUGGGGUAAAGGCCUACCAAGGCGACGAUCCUUAGCUGGUCUGAGAGGAUGAUCAGCCACACUGGGACUGAGACACGGCCCAGACUACUACGGGAGGCAGCAGUGGGGAAUAUUGGACAAUGGGCGGAAGCCUGAUCCAGCAAUGCCGCGUGAGUGAUGAAGGCCUUAGGGUUGUAAAGCUCUUUUACCCGGGAUGAUAAUGACAGUACCGGGAGAAUAAGCCCCGGCUAACUCCGUG
rnacentral:rRNA from 1 species